UAUCAUUAACGAUCCCUUCAGGGCAUCUGGUGAAACCCUGUUGUAGUUAGCCUUCUGCCGCAUUGGAGGAUAACUGGACAAUGAUUUCUUGUGUUUCUUCCAGUUUGCCUUUUGGUGUGACUUUAUUAAAUUCUAAAACUUUUUUUGGGGAAGCUGCUUCUCUGAUCUGUCAUGAGGAUGGUAGUCCUGUUACCUCAUCUGAGGGAGACAUGGCCACUGGUGUGUCCCAGGGUGGUGGAAUGAUGGAGCGGUUUCUGGGAGUUGGUAUUGCCUCCCGGAGCAAACCUAGUCUGUGACGGAUACAUUUAUCUGGGGCGGCUAGGCGAAAGUGGAGGAGGGCCAGGAAGGAAGUUGCUGAUAUCAGUG
rnacentral:lncRNA from 1 species